rnacentral:rRNA from 1 species
AGCAGCCGCGGUAAUUCCAGCUCCAAUAGCGUAUAUUAAAGUUGUUGCAGUUAAAAAGCUCGUAGUUGAAUUUCAGGCCUGGCUGGGCGGUCCGCCUUUUGGGUGAGUACUGCCUGUGGUCGGGUCCUACCUUCUGGCGAAGCGUCAUGGCCUUAACCGGCCGUGGCGGGGAACCAGGACUUUUACUGUGAAAAAAUUAGAGUGUUCAAAGCAGGCAUUCGCUUGGAUACAUUAGCAUGGAAUAAUGGAAUAGGACAGUGGUUCUAUUUGUUGGUUUCUAGGACCGUUGUAAUGAUUAAUAGGGAUAGUUGGGGGCAUUAGUAUUCAAUUGUCAGAGGUGAAAUUCUUGGAUUUAUUGAAGACUAACUACUGCGAAAGCAUUUGCCAAGGAUGUUUUCAUUAAUCAAGAACGAAAGUUAGGGGAUCGAAGACGAUCAGAUACCGUCGUAGUCUUAACCAUAAACUAUGCCGACUAGGAAUCGGGCGAUGUUGACAAAAUGACGCGCUCGGCA